rnacentral:rRNA from 1 species
AUUGAACGCUGGCGGCAUGCCUUACACAUGCAAGUCGAACGGUAACAGGUUAAGCUGACGAGUGGCGAACGGGUGAGUAAUAUAUCGGAACGUGCCCAGUAAUGGGGGAGUAGCCCGGCGAAAGCCGGAUUAAUACCGCAUACGACCUACGGGUGAAAGCAGGGGAUCGCAAGACCUUGCGGUUAUUGGAGCGGCCGAUAUCAGAUUAGCUUGUUGGUGGGGUAAAAGCCCACCAAGGCGACGAUCUGUAGCUGGUCUGAGAGGACGACCAGCCACACGUGGGACUGAGACACGGGCCCAGACUCCUACGGG